rnacentral:rRNA from 1 species
CCUACGGGAGGCAGCAGUGGGGAAUAUUGCACAAUGGGCGAAAGCCUGAUGCAGCAACGCCGCGUGAGCGAUGAAGGUCUUCGGAUCGUAAAGCUCUGUCCUCAAGGAAGAAUUUUGACGGUACUUGAGGAGGAAGCCCCGGCUAACUACGUGCCAGCAGCCGCGGUAAUACGUAGGGGGCGAGCGUUAUCCGGAAUCACUGGGCGUAAAGGGUGCGUAGGCGGCCGAUUAAGCCAGGGGUGAAAGGCUACGGCUCAACCGUAGUAAGCCCUUGGAACUGAUUGGCUUGAGUGCAGGAGAGGAGAGUGGAAUUCCUAGUGUAGCGGUGAAAUGCGUAGAUAUUAGGAGGAACACCAGUGGCGAAGGCGACUCUCUGGACUGUAACUGACGCUGAGGCACGAAAGCGUGGGGAGCAAACAGGAUUAGAUACCCUGGUAGUC